ACAGAAAAGCAGAGAAAAGAAGAAAAUGAAGACUAUGCAAGGGGCUGAGGUGCCAACAUGGGGUCAGCUGAAGAAAGUUAACACCUGAGGCCCAGCAGAUGGCAGAAAAGCAAGAAGUGGAAGCUACUCCCUCAACCACGUUUCUGGCUCUGUUAGCAUUGGUUAGCUGCCAGUCUUCUGUUAAGUCUUGCACAGCCAAGUCUGAGGACUCUGAGUAAAUAUACACACCAGCAGAAAAAGAAACUCAUUUUGUAGCUGAAAAUGUUAACAUGUCUGUAGUUUGAUUGCUGUGUUG